UACGAAGGGUGCAAGCGUUACUCGGAAUUACUGGGCGUAAAGCGUGCGUAGGCGGUUUGGUAAGUCCGUUGUGAAAGCCCUGGGCUCAACCUGGGAAUUGCAGUGGAUACUGGCGAGCUAGAGUGCGGUAGAGGAUGGUGGAAUUCCCGGUGUAGCGGUGAAAUGCGUAGAGAUCGGGAGGAACACCCGUGGCGAAGGCGGCCAUCUGGACCAGCACUGACGCUGAGGCACGAAAGCGUGGGGAGCAAACAGG
rnacentral:rRNA from 1 species